GAUGAGAUCAAAAGAUAUAUAUCUUGAGGCACAUACUGACCCAUAGAAUAAAGAAAAUCAGGAAAGACAGUGAAAAACAGGAAAUAUUUGAAAGGCUUGAGUUAUUAUUUCAAAUUGGUCAGUGUUCAGCGGCAAGUAUUACAAUGUGAUUUGGAUGAGAUCAAAAGAUAUUUAUCUUGAGGCACAUACUGACCCAUAGAAUAAAGAAAAUCAGGAAAGACAGUGAAAAACAGGAAAUAUUUGAAAGGCUUGAGUUAUUAUUUCAAAUUGGUCAGUGUUCAGCGGCAAGUAUUACAAUGUGAUUUGGAUGACAUCAAAAGAUAUUUAUCUUGAGGCACAUACUGACCCAUAGAAUAAAGAGAAUCAGGAAAGACAGUGAAAAACAGGAAAUAUUU